CAGCCGCCGCGGGAAAACGGAGGGUGCAAGCGUUAAUCGGAAUUACUGGGCGUAAAGCGUGCGUAGGCGGCUUUGUAAGUUAGAGGUGAAAGCCUGGUGCUCAACACCAGAACUGCCUUUAAGACUGCAUCGCUUGAACGUCGGAGAGGUGAGUGGAAUUCCGAGUGUAGAGGUGAAAUUCGUAGAUAUUCGCAAGAACACCAGUGGCGAAGGCGGCCAUCUGGGACAACACUGACGCUGAGGCACGAAAGCGUGGGGAGCAAACAGGAUUAGAUACCCCUGUAGUCCCUGUCUCUUAUAA
rnacentral:rRNA from 1 species